rnacentral:rRNA from 1 species
GAAAGUAAACAAGGGCGCAUGGCGGAUGCCUUGGCUCUCGGAGGCGAUGAAGGACGUGAUAAGCUGCGAUAAGUCACGGGGAGGUGCAAAUAACCUUUGAUCCGUGAAUCUCCGAAUGGGACAACCCGAUAUCCUGAAGGGAUAUCACCUCAUCUAGUUGAGGAGCUAACGCAGGGAACUGAAACAUCUUAGUACCUGCAGGAAAAGAAAAUAACAAUGAUUCCCCCAGUAGUGGCGAGCGAACGGGGAAGAGCCCAAACCACCGGUGUUACGGCACAGGUGGGGUUGUAGGACCGCGGCAUCGCAAGAGCUCUCGCGAAUGGAAGCAUCUGGAAAGUUGCACCACAGACGGUGACAGUCCGGUACAUGAAGCGAGACGAAGCGUAGCGGUAUCCUGAGUAGCGCGGAACACGAGGAAUUCUGCGUGAAUCUGCCGGGACCAUCCGGCAAGGCUAAAUACUCCCGAGAGACCGAUAGUGGACCAGUACCGUGAGGGAAAGGUGAAAAGCACUUCGAACAGAAGAGUGAAAUAGUACCUGAAACCGUGCGCCUACAAGCGGUCGGAGCUCCGUAAGGAGUGACGGCGUGCCUUUUGCAUAAUGAACCUACGAGUUGCCGUCGUUGGCAAGGUUAAGGGACACGAGUCCCGCAGCCGAAGCGAAAGCGAGUCUGAAGAGGGCGUCGAGUCAGCGGCGGCAGACGCGAAACCAAGUGAUCUACCCUUGGCCAGGAUGAAGUCUGGGUAACACCAGAUGGAGGUCCGCACCAAUAAGCGUUGAAAAGCUUCUGGAUGAGCUGAGGGUAGGGGUGAAAGGCUAAUCAAACUUGGAGAUAGCUCGUACUCCCCGAAAUGCAUUUAGGUGCAGCCUCGCGGGUUACUGAUGUGAGGUAGAGCGACUGAUUGGAUGCGAGGGCUUCACCGCCUAUCAAGUCCUGACAAACUCCGAAUGCGCAUCAGUUUGACCGCGGGAGUGAGGGCAUGGGUGCUAAGGUCCGUGCCCGAGAGGAGAAGAAUCCGGACCACCGGCUAAGGUCCCGAAAUGACAGCUAAGUUAAACUAACGAAGUCUGAUUGCUAAGACAGCUAGGAUGUUGGCUUGGAAGCAGCCAUUCAUUUAAAGAGUGCGUAACAGCUCACUAGUCGAGGAAUCGGGCGUGGAUAAUAAUCGGGUAUAAGCUGUCUACCGAAGCCGUGGAACCAGCAAUGGUUGGUAGGGGAGCAUUCCAUUCGGCGUCGAAGGCGUACCGCGAGGUACUCUGGAGCGUAUGGAAAAGCAAAUGUAGGUAUAAGUAACGAUAAAGGGGGUGGGAAACCCCCUCGCCGAAAGACUAAGGUUUCCUGAUCAACGCUAAUCGGAUCAGGGUCAGUCGGGUCCUAAGGCUCAGCCGAACGGCGAGGCCGAUGGCAGAAACGGUUAAUAUUCCGUUACUACCUCUGGGGGUGACGUGGAGAAGCAGAAGUGACACUGCCGCGGGCUGACGGAAUAGCCCGUUGAAGAGUGUAGGUGCCGAUUCCCGCAGGCAAAUCCGCGGGAAGAGCCGAACUUGACAGUAUGGAGCGUCCUUCGGGACAAUCCAAUAGCGCAGGUAAUCAGACUGCCGAGAAAAUCCGCUAAACAUAACUUCAGAGGUACCCGUACCGCAAACGGACACACGUAGUCGGGUUGAAUAUACUAAGGCGCUUGAGUGAAUCACGGUUAAGGAACUAGGCAAACUGACCCUGUAACUUCGGGAUAAAGGGUCCCUACCCAGAAAUGGGAGGGCGCAGAGAAUAGGUCCAGGCAACUGUUUAACAAAAACACAGGGCUGUGCCAAUAUGAAAGUAGACGUAUACAGCCUGACACCUGCCCGGUGCUGGAAGGUUAAGAGGAGAUGUCAUCGCAAGAGAAGCAUUGAAUUGAAGCCCCAGUAAACGGCGGCCGUAACUAUAACGGUCCUAAGGUAGCGAAAUUCCUUGUCGGGUAAGUUCC